rnacentral:rRNA from 1 species
AGAGUUUGAUCAUGGCUCAGGACGAACGCUGGCGGCGUGCCUAACACAUGCAAGUCGAACGGAGAAUUUCAAGAAGUUUACUUUGCGAAAUUUUUAGUGGCGGACGGGUGAGUAACGCGUGGGUAACCUACCCAUAAAUCCGGGACAACCCUUGGAAACGAGGGCUAAUACCGGAUAAUCUUAAAGCUUGGCAUCAAGGUUUAAGGAAAGGUGGCCUCUGAGUAUGCUACCGAUUAUGGAUGGACCCGCGUCUGAUUAGCUAGUUGGUGGGGUAAAGGCCUACCAAGGCGACGAUCAGUAGCCGGCCUGAGAGGGUGAACGGCCACACUGGGACUGAGACACGGCCCAGACUCCUACGGGAGGCAGCAGUGGGGAAUCUUCCGCAAUGGACGAAAGUCUGACGGAGCAACGCCGCGUGUAUGAUGAAGGUCUUCGGAUUGUAAAGUACUGUCUUUGGGGAAGAACGAGUGGUUUGAAAAUAUUGAGCUACUAUGACGGUACCCAAGGAGGAAGCCCCGGCUAACUACGUGCCAGCAGCCGCGGUAAUACGUAGGGGGCAAGCGUUGUCCGGAAUUAUUGGGCGUAAAGGGCGCGUAGGCGGGUAUUUAAGUCCGGUGUGAAAGAUCAGGGCUCAACCCUGAGAGUGCAUCGGAAACUGGGUAUCUUGAGGACAGGAGAGGAAAGUGGAAUUCCACGUGUAGCGGUGAAAUGCGUAGAUAUGUGGAGGAACACCAGUGGCGAAGGCGACUUUCUGGACUGUAACUGACGCUGAGGCGCGAAAGCGUGGGGAGCAAACAGGAUUAGAUACCCUGGUAGUCCACGCCGUAAACGAUGAGUGCUAGGUGUAGAGGGUAUCGACCCUUUCUGUGCCGCAGUUAACACAAUAAGCACUCCGCCUGGGGAGUACGGCCGCAGGGUUGAAACUCAAAGGAAUUGACCGGGGCCCGC